GGGUAUCUAACGAAGGCAACAUAGCAAACGGGCGUUAAGGGGUACCCACUCCCCGGAUACAUAUGGGCACAAUCCCUAGGGUAUCUAGCAUGAGCAACAUUGUAUCGCAGUGUUAAAUCGUAUUAACAUACAUAUGGUAAUUAUUGAAGGAACUUGGGAGCUUGCCGUCUGAUGCUGCUGGAGUGGUUGUGGUCAUGAUAAACAAUUACAUUGAUUUGGUUUCGAUACAUUUACACACUUAUACAUUUAUGCUUCCGCUCAAUACUUUGGUUUUGGUUUAACUUUUCAAACGAUACAUUUCUUUCAAUUGGGUAUUUCAAUACAUUAUAACUUGUGUUUGAUAUGAUUGGUGGCUCUUUGUUGGAUCGUUGCACCUCCAAUAGGGACAUGCCCUAGGUGGUUAUUUGGGGGUGUGACAGAUACUAUCAAAAAACACUUCAGAAACUGCUGUAUUAAAUAAAAUAAUUUGAAUCUAUAGGUACACUGCAACCAGAUGAUGGAGGAGUCAUAGACACCCUUAUUGCAAACAUUCAAACUGUGGAACCGGGUGUAUACGCUUACCAAACAACUGCCAAGGAAACUGGUGAAAAUGAAACUGUUAUCGAAGAGACAGUGAACUUGGAAGAAUCUACACAAAAAGUCCAAGAAGAAGCAGUGAACUUGGCAGAAUCUACACAAAAAGUUCAGGAAGAAGUGCCAGAAAAAGACCCUCAACAACUCGAUACGGACGUUGAAGUUGAAAAGGAAAAGGAACCUGAAUACCCUCAGGUAACUGCUGAAGAAUUGCAUUCAGUUGAGUUGGUUUUGAGCAUAGGACCA
rnacentral:lncRNA from 1 species